CAGCAUGUUUCCCAGGGCCAUGGCCCAUUGUGGCCAUGGGUUCUCCAACCACAUGCAGGAGCAGCCUGGAGAGACUUUGACAGCACAAGUCAGCCUAUACCCGCAACUGCCACUCACCUUGCCUAGAACA